ACAGCUACAGUGACUUGGAACAAACACAGCUGAGACUAACCCUGGGAGCUGAGACUUUGCUUUUCCCUGUACACUCUGAGAAGCUACCAUCUGAUCAGAAGAGAUAUCACUGUUGCAGUGAAUAAAGUCAGCAUCUAAUCUUCCUGUUUUCACAGCAGCACCAUAUGGCAGUGACAGCACCUUCUGCAAGAAGAGAAACUCUAAACCAAUUACAACAAUAUCAUUUCUGUGUUGAACCAUAAGUCAUUGGAAACCCACUGCAACCAUGCUUCCAUAAUAGCAGCUGGAAUCUCCAAUUCUACAGAGAAAAGG
rnacentral:lncRNA from 1 species